rnacentral:rRNA from 1 species
UGGGACCUACGGGGGGCAGCAGUGAGGAAUAUUGGUCAAUGGGCGAGAGCCUGAACCAGCCAAGUCGCGUGAAGGAUGACGGCCCUACGGGUUGUAACCUUCUUUUGUCAGGGAGCAAUUGAGUCCACGUGUGGUCUUAGCGAGAGUACCUGAAGAAAAAGCAUCGGCUAACUCCGUGCCAGCAGCCGCGGUAAUACGGAGGAUGCGAGCGUUAUCCGGAUUUAUUGGGUUUAAAGGGUGCGUAGGCGGAAUAUCAAGUCAGCGGAAAAAAUUCGGGGCUCAACCCCGUCGUGCCGUUGAAACUG